rnacentral:rRNA from 1 species
UGGUGGUGUGAAUUGUCUGGUUGAUUCCGUUAACGAACGAGACCUUUGCCUACUAAAUAGCUGCUAGAAGAUAUUGCAUCAAGGCGUAGAGGCCUGCAGGUAGAAGGGUUCGUCCCCUAUUUGCAGUUGUUCUCUGCGUUGCUUUUCUUCUAGAAAAUGCUUCUUAGAGGGACUAUUUGUGACAAGCAAAUGGAAGUUGGAGGCUAGAACA